CGCCCCUCUGCAGGCGCAGUACACGCGCACGCACGCCGAGUCGCGCACCACGGCCCGCGGGGACCCGAGGCGCACAGCCCCCGCCGCCCCCUCCCAAGCGCCCGGGACAGUGGAGAACACGCGGAGGCAGGUGCGCCCACGCGCCCACGCGCCCACGCGCCCACGCACCCACGCCCAGCACCACACGUAAGCCAGGCCCGCCGUCGCUCACCCAGGCGUGCAACACGCGGGCUCCCGGUCACCCUCACAGACACACAGGCGGACCCUCUACCGCUCAGACAGACNNNNNNNNNNNNNNNNNNNNNNNNNNNNNNNNNNNNNNNNNNCCCCCCCCCCCCCAGGACUAUGACGUCAGCGACACUGUGGCCCGGGCAGAGAUGUGGCCAGGUGCACAGCCUCGCAGGACCUCCCCCACCCUUUCCCUCGGAAGGACCCUAAAGACAAGUGGAUCGGCAUCGCUGGUGAUGAAGGCGAGAGCUAAAGCCACCAAGCCACUAAGGCACCACCCUGGGUUCAAGCUCAGGGAAAGCACUUGUCUACCAAAUCCCAGGCCCAGAAGCCACUCGAAUUCAAGGUGGCGAUCUUUUGAGUCACCCCCAACGUGGGUAAAGGGGGGCAGAGGCGAGCUUAAACCCUGGGUUUGGGCUGUGUGCCCAUUCUUACCCAGGACUGGGGUUGUAUACAGCAGAUUCUUCAGCAGCCUGCAUCCAGAGCAUCCUGGGGAGGACAUCUUUUGCCUCUUCAGUAAGAGCCUCCCUCACCUUCGCCAGGUGCUGUGGAGCCUCUGAGUUGGGCCCGAACAGGUGCUCCUCCCAACUGAUGCCACUGAGCCUUCUUCUACCUCAUGCGCCUCCAGCUCCUAUCCCCUGCCUCUGCUGCUCUUGGUCUCUCUGUUUCUAUUUCUAUCUCGCAGGGGCUCCUUGUUUCUGACUCUAUCUCUCCAUGAGCCUGUGAAUCUGUAUUUGAGUCUUUGUCUGAUUCUGUAUCUCUAUCUGUAUCUGCAACUCUCUCUCUCUGGCUCUUGCUUGUCUCUCUUUGCCUCUGCUUUCCUGUCUCUGAAUCCUGGUGUUUCUCAGUCUGUGUCUCUCUAUCCCUGUCUCCAGGCUUGUCUUUCACACUGGAUAAGUCUCUAUAUGGCUCCAGGAGAUCUUUAUGGUCAGGUUCAAAGGUCACUGUAGCUCAAGAGCUGAAUGGAGAGGGAAAGCUGGCUUGUUCUGAGGCUGGGAGACAGGGUGUCCUGGAUGCUCAGUGUUCCCUCUGGGGGAGUUUUGUCCUCCAGAGUUUGCACUUGUACUCAGUCUGAGUCAGGUCAGAGAUACUCUGAAAGUUUUAAAGGCUUAGCCUCCCACUUUAGACUAUUUCAAGGGCAGGGCUUUGUCUCUAUUCAGACAGGUAGCCAAUCUUUCUGUAGGCUCCAGCUUCUCUUUUAUGCCAUGAGAAUCAGUAGAGAUGGCUUUUGGAGUAAACACAAAACAAACAAGCAAAACCCAGGUUCAAAUUCUGGACCUGCUAUGAAUACACUCCGUGAUAACGGGUAAGUUAUUUGACUUCUCCCAGCCAGGGACAUUCUCCUCAUCAGUGGGGAUACGAGCAGUGCCUAUCUCUCCAGAUUAUGGUGAAGAUAAAGUGAGAUCAUGACUAAUACACUUGACAGAGCCUGAUUCAAGAACUGGAAGUCAUUUUUAUUGGAUUCCCCCAUUUGCUUAUAGAGCCCAACAGAAGCAUAGGCCCAUAGGAUCUUCUGAAUGAAUACAGAUUUUCUCGUUGUUCAUUUCCCUACUUUCUUUC
rnacentral:lncRNA from 1 species